AGUGAACGCUGGCGGUAGGCCUAACACAUGCAAGUCGAACGGCAGCACAGUAAGAGCUUGCUCUUACGGGUGGCGAGUGGCGGACGGGUGAGGAAUACAUCGGAAUCUACUUUUUCGUGGGGGAUAACGUAGGGAAACUUACGCUAAUACCGCAUACGACCUACGGGUGAAAGCAGGGGAUCUUCGGACCUUGCGCGAUUGAAUGAGCCGAUGUCGGAUUAGCUAGUUGGCGGGGUAAAGGCCCACCAAGGCGACGAUCCGUAGCUGGUCUGAGAGGAUGAUCAGCCACACUGGAACUGAGACACGGUGCAGACUCCUACGGGAGGCAGCAGUGAGGAAUAUUGGACAAUGGGCGCAAGCCUGAUCCAGCCAUACCGCGUGGGAGAAGAAGGCCGUCGGGUUGUAAAGCCCUUUUGUUGGGAAAGAAAAGCAGCAGGUUAAUACCCCGCUGUUCUGACGGUACCCAAAGAAUAAGCACCGGCUAACUUC
rnacentral:rRNA from 1 species